rnacentral:lncRNA from 1 species
CUCUAGAAUCUCUCUAAUUAAAGACAUUCACCUUAAAUAGAAGUGUAUUUAUAACAAAAUAAAUGUUUAACAUGUUUGAUUUGUUAGUAUGAUUGAUUAAUUGAUUGUUUGAGAACUAAACAUAUCGUAAUGUCUUAUUAACGGUUAACUGGAUAGAGUUAAGUAGUAGUCACGAAGAAAGUGUUGUCUGGGAGGGUAAUAUGUACACAGGCCUUAUGCCUACCCGAAAGGGUAGAGGCUGUUUCCAAUCGACCCUUGGCGCCCCCAAACAUAUCGUAAUGUCUUAUUGAUGGUUAACUGGAUAGAGUUAAGUAGUAGCCCCGAAGAAAUAUGUGAUUAAACUUUGUGCAAUUCAUUAUAUAAUAAUUAUAUACUAUAUUAAAAGCACGAAUAUCCUUAGCGAAAUGUCGUUCGCUCUUUUUACCCCUUAAAACUAUGUUUCACAUUGGACAUAAUUGUAAUUUAUAUUAUUUUUCUAAUAUUUAAAGCUUUAUGAAGUAAUAUUA